rnacentral:rRNA from 1 species
CAGUAGCCACGGUAAAACGAAGGGGGCUAGCGUUGUUCGGAAUUACUGGGCGUAAAGGGCGCGUAGGCGGCCAUUCAAGUUAGAUGUGAAAGCCCUGGGCUCAACCUAGGAAUUGCAUUUGAUACUGUUUGGCUUGAGUUCGGGAGAGGUGAGUGGAAUUCCCAGUGUAGAGGUGAAAUUCGUAGAUAUUGGGAAGAACACCAGUGGCGAAGGCGGCUCACUGGACCGACACUGACGCUGAGGCGCGAAAGCGUGGGGAGCAAACAGGAUUAGAUACCCGCGUAGUCCCUGUCUCUUAUAC